rnacentral:rRNA from 1 species
GCAGGCUUAACACAUGCAAGUCGAGGGGUACCCCCACUUCGGUGCUAGAGACCGGCGCACGGGUGCGUAACGCGUAUGCAAUCUGCCUUUCACAGAGGGAUAGCCCAGAGAAAUUUGGAUUAAUACCUCAUAGUAUUAUGGAGUGGCAUCACUUUAUAAUUAAAGUCACAACGGUGAAAGAUGAGCAUGCGUCCCAUUAGCUAGUUGGUAAGGUAACGGCUUACCAAGGCUACGAUGGGUAGGGGUCCUGAGAGGGAGAUCCCCCACACUGGUACUGAGACACGGACCAGACUCCUACGGGAGGCAGCAGUGAGGAAUAUUGGUCAAUGGGCGCAAGCCUGAACCAGCCAUGCCGCGUGCAGGAUGACGGUCCUAUGGAUUGUAAACUGCUUUUGUACGAGAAGAAACACUCCAACGUGUUGGAGCUUGACGGUAUCGUAAGAAUAAGGAUCGGCUAACUCCGUGCCAGCAGCGCGGUAA